rnacentral:rRNA from 1 species
GACGAACGCUGGCGGCGUGCCUAAUACAUGCAAGUUGAGCGCUGAAGGUUGGUACUUGUACCAACUGGAUGAGCAGCGAACGGGGGAGUAACGCGUGGGGAAUCUGCCUUUGAGCGGGGGACAACAUUUGGAAACGAAUGCUAAUACCGCAUAAAAACUUUAAACACAAGUUUUAAGUUUGAAAGAUGCAAUUGCAUCACUCAAAGAUGAUCCCGCGUUGUAUUAGCUAGUUGGUGAGGUAAAGGCUCACCAAGGCGAUGAUACAUAGCCGGCCGGAGAGGGGGAUCGGCCACAAUGGGACUGAGACACGGGCCAAACUCCUAAGGGAGGCAGCAGGAGGGAAUCUUCGGCAAUAGAGGGAAGGCUGAACGAGCAAAGCCGCGGGAGUGAAGAAGGGUCUCGGAUCGUAAAACUCUGUUGGUAGAGAAGAAAGUUGGUGAGAGUGGAAAGCUCAUCAAGUGACGGUAACUACACAGAAAGGGACGGCUAACUACGUG